rnacentral:lncRNA from 7 species
GGAAGGGUAUCUACUUGGAGAUCACCUCCUUUGGAGUGUUUGGUCAGCCCUGUUUCUCAGAAAGGGGAGCUGCUAAUGCUGUACAUCCUGGUGGCCUAAUGAUGAUGUUCCCCAGAACCAGGUCCAUUACGUGCAGUGUUUUCUGUGAAUCCUUGUGUUCUCGUGGCCUGGCUUCUGCUCCCUUCAGUUGCUUUUGAGAAGCCACGCUUCACUGCCAGAGAGCAUUUACAUAUUGCAAACAUCAAAGUUGCACAUCUAUUUGUAGAACACAAAAUCUAAGGCCCUUCCACAGCAAUGGGCUCCAGCCAGAGACCAGAGUGCACCUGCAAAAGGACAGAAAGCCCCUGACCAUCAAAUCCACAACAGGAUGAAUGCAGCAUCAUGUAUCCUAGAGGGGUAUCAAAUUUAUGGCUAAGACUUUGAUGUGAAGCACUGAAGUUUAAGGAAGGAGGCUUAGCAAUGCUGACUCAAAGGGACAGUGACUCCACCACCUCCCUGGGCAGCCCAUGCCAGUGCCCAACUGCUGUUUUGGAAAAGAAGUUUUUCCCUAAUAUCCAGACUGAGCCACUCCUAGCAAAAUGUGAGGCUAUUCCCUGUUGUCCUGUCAAUGUUACAGGAUGUCAAUGAGCAGAGGCCACCUCCACCUCACUGCAACCUGCUUUCAAGCUGGUGCAGGGAGCAACAUCUCCCCUGAGCCUCCUCUUGUCCAAACUAGAAGCUCUUCACUCAUGUCGUUGGAGGCUUCAUACAGAUCCUUCAUAUUCCUCUUUGUUGUCUAUCAGUCCAGUUACUAAACUAAAACAACAUACUUACAUAGUUCAUUACUCUUCCAUGUUCAUGCCAUUAAUAUUCCAGUAAUC